rnacentral:rRNA from 1 species
UACGGGGGGGAGCAAGCGUUGUUCGGAUUUACUGGGCGUAAAGGGCGCGUAGGCGGCGCAACAAGUCACUUGUGAAAUCUCCGGGCUUAACCCGGAGCGGUCAAGUGAUACUGUCGUGCUAGAGUGCGGAAGGGGCUACUGGAAUUCUCGGUGUAGCGGUGAAAUGCGUAGAUAUCGGAAGGAACACCAGUGGCGAAAGCGGCUCCUGGUCCAGCACCGACGUCAGGCACGAAAGCCGUGGGGAGCAAACAGG